rnacentral:rRNA from 1 species
GACGAACCGUGCGAACGUUGUUCGGAAUCACUGGGCUUAAAGGGCGCGUAGGCGGGCGCGCAAGUCGGAGGUGAAAUCCCACGGCUCAACCGUGGAAUGGCCCCCGAUACUGCGUGCCUGGAGGGAGAUAGGGGCGUGCGGAACUUCCGGUGGAGCGGUGAAAUGCGUAGAUAUCGGAAGGAACACCGGUGGCGAAAGCGGCGCGCUGGAUCUCUUCUGACGCUGAGGCGCGAAAGCCAGGGGAGCAAACGGG